UACGAAGGGGGCUAGCGUUGCUCGGAAUUACUGGGCGUAAAGGGCGCGUAGGCGGAUACUUAAGUUAGAGGUGAAAGCCCAGGGCUCAACCCUGGAAUAGCCUUUAAUACUGGGUAUCUUGAGUUCGGGAGAGGUGAGUGGAACUCCGAGUGUAGAGGUGAAAUUCGUAGAUAUUCGGAAGAACACCAGUGGCGAAGGCGACUCACUGGCCCGAUACUGACGCUGAGGCGCGAAAGCGUGGGGAGCAAAC
rnacentral:rRNA from 1 species